UUAAAGACUUAGUCCUAACCUUAGUGUUAAUUAAAACUAUGUUUAUACAUGCAAGUCUCAUGCCUACCAGUGAAAAUGCCCCAUAUCUCCAUAAAGAGAAAAAGGAGCCGGUAUCAGGCGCUUAAAAGCCCAUCACACCCCACUAAACCACGCCUGCACAGGAUCUCAGCAGUAAUAAAUAUUGAAAUAUGAACGACAAGCUCGACUCAACAAUAGUUACCAGAGCCGGUAAAUCUCGUGCCAGCCACCGCGGUUAUACGAGAGGCUCAAAUUAAUAUGCACGGCUAAAAGGUAGUUAAAGUAUAUUAACUGAAUGAAAAAUGUAUUUAGCCGUCAUACGCAAAAUAAAUCCUUAACCCAAAAGCUUUAUUCACUAACACUUGAAGCUACUACAAUCAAGAAACAAACUGGGAUUAGAUACCCCACUAUGCUUGCUCUUAAACUUUUUUCCGCCAGAGUACUACGAGCCACAGCUUAAAACUCAAAGAACUUGGCGGUGCUCUAUACCCACCUAGAGGAGCCUGUUCUAUAAUCGAUACCCCCCGAUAAACCUCACCAUUUUUUGCCAGUACAGCCUAUAUACCACCGCCUCCUGCUUAUCUUCAAAGAGAACUAUAAUAAGCAAAAUAAUUUUAAAUAAAAAAGUCAGGUCAAGGUGUAGCACAUAAAAUGGAAAGAAAUGGGCUACAUUUUCUUAUCAGAAAAUACGCAAAGUCCCAUGAAAUAAAACUAAAAGGAGGAUUUAGAAGUAAAAAGAAAAAAGAGUGUUCUUUUAAAAUCGGUAAUAAAGCACGCACACACCGCCCGUCACCCUCAUCAAAUAUAUUACUUUAGAAGAGGAAAGUCGUAACAUGGUAAGCCUACCGGAAGGUGGGCUUGGAUA
rnacentral:ncRNA from 1 species